AGGACUACACGGGUUUCUAAUCCUGUUUGCUCCCCACGCUUUCGUGCCUCAGUGUCAGUACUGGUCCAGGUGGCCGCCUUCGCCACGGAUGUUCCUCCUGAUCUCUACGCAUCUCACUGCUACACCAGGAAUUCCGCCACCCUCUACCGUACUCUAGCCCGCCAGUAUCCAAUGCAAUUCCCAGGUUGAGCCCGGGGCUUUCACAUCAGACUUAACGAACCACCUACGCACGCUUUACGCCCAGUAAUUCCGAGUAACGCUUGCACCCUUCGUAUUACCGCGGCGGCUGGCAC
rnacentral:misc_RNA from 1 species